AUGUUGUUUGUGUCCCAUUUUUUACAAAUAAUAUCUUAUUUCUCAAAAGAAUGCUCAUGCGAUGUUACUCAAACAUGUGCAGAGGGGAAUAGCAGGUUAUGCGUCUCCGUGAGAGACUAUUACUGUUACAUGCCGCAAACACGGCCUGGGAUCUUCAAUCCCAUACUCUGUGGAGCACGCCUACUGCAGCAAUGGGCGGUUGACAUGUACAUCAAGAUUGAGAGUUGUCGGUUGAGGUGGUACAGGAAGAACCAGACGCAGAUCCGUGCCGACUUGUAUAAAGUAGUUGUUGAUGCGACCACAUCGGGGGAGACGCGAGCAAGCGCUGUUGGGGUAAGAAUAGUGCUCCCUGGAACUUACCCUGGUGGUGACCGCGACAUGAAGAAGUGACAUAUGGAUGCCAUGGCAAUUGUCCAUACAUACAGGAAGCCUGACAUCUUCUUAACCAUGACUUGCAACCCUAAAUGGGAAGAGAUAACAAAUGAGUUGCUUCCUGGUCAGACGGCGCAUGAUCGUCCUGAUAUUGUGGCCCGCGUGUUCUACGGCAAGCUAGAGGCUAUGAAAGACCCGUUGCUCAAGAAAAUUGUCCUGGGUGUUGUUGUUGCUUAUGUGUACGUA
rnacentral:rRNA from 1 species